rnacentral:rRNA from 1 species
GUGGGGAAUCUUGCGCAAUGGGCGAAAGCCUGACGCAGCAACGCCGCGUGCGGGAUGAAGGCCUUCGGGUUGUAAACCGCUUUCAGCAGGGACGAAAAUGACGGUACCUGCAGAAGAAGCUCCGGCUAACUACGUGCCAGCAGCCGCGGUAAUACGUAGGGAGCAAGUGUUGUCCGGAUUUAUUGGGCGUAAAGAGCUCGUAGGCGGUUUCGUAAGUCGAGUGUGAAAAAUCUGGGCUUAACCCAGUGGAGCACUCGAUACUGCGAUGACUUGAGUCUGGUAGAGGAGUGUGGAAUUCCUGGUGUAGCGGUGAAAUGCGCAGAUAUCAGGAGGAACACCAACGGCGAAGGCAGCACUCUGGGCCAGUACUGACGCUGAGGAGCGAAAGCGUGGGGAGCAAACAGGAUUAGAUACCCCAGUAGUCC